UGGGGAAUAUUGCACAAUGGGCGAAAGCCUGAUGCAGCAACGCCGCGUGCGGGAUGACGGCCUUCGGGCUGUAAAACCGCUUUCAGCAGGGACGAAGGUUUUCUGACGGUACCUGCAGAAGAAGCACCGGCUAACUACGUGCCAGCAGCCGCGGUGAUACGUAGGGUGCGAGCGUUGUCCGGAAUUAUUGGGCGUAAAGAGCUUGUAGGCGGUCCGUUGCGUCGGAAGUGAAAAACUCAGGGCUUAACCCUGAGCCUGCUUUCGAUACGGGCGGACUUGAGGGAUGUAGGGAGAACGGAAUUCCUGGUGGAGCGGUGGAAUGCGCAGAUAUCAGGAGGAACACCAGUGGCGAAGGCGGUUCUCUGGACAUUUCCUGACGCUGAGAAGCGAAAAGCGUGGGGAGCAAAACAGGCUUAGAUACCCUGGUAGUCCACGCCGUAAAACGGUGGGCACUAGGUGUGGGACCCAUUCCACGGGUUCCGUGCCGUAGCUAACGCAUUAAGUGCCCCGCCUGGGGAGUACGGCCGCAAAGGCUAAAAACUCAAAAGGAAUUGACGGGGUCAUGCUGUUUCCUG
rnacentral:rRNA from 1 species